AAAAGUUGUCUACCUCCCCACCAUGGCAAACCCAUCUAAAACAACCGAAACUCCGUCCCUAUCUCUCCAAACCCUAACCCUAAAAAUCUAAUUUCUAAAUUUCAAAAUCCAAAUCGAUUCUAAUCGCAGUCUUUCCCACACACAUUUUCGUUACUCUCUCUAUCCAAAUUCCAAUGGAAUCGAAUUGGAACUCCCUCAGUUCUGAUCUCACAGAGUUGGUCCUCUCCUAUCUUCCGAUCCGAUCCAUCAUCGUCGCCUCGGCCAUCUGCAAGCCCUGACAGUCCGUCGUCACCCAAUCUUCCUUGUCGGCCCGCGUCUCCCCCACCAAGAAGCCUUGGUUCUUCAUCUGCGGCCAGAACAACAUCUUUGCCAAGAACAAUCAGGCAUUCGGUUUCGAUCCCGAAUCAAACGAAUGGAUCCGAUUGCCGAACGCUCUCUUUCCCCCGCGGCCCGCCCAGGAAGAAUCCUUCAUCGGCUCUGGGGGCUUCUUUUUCACGACCACCUCCUCCACCUCCUCCAAAUUCAGCUAUGCCCCUGUUCUCAAAGGCAGAUCCUCUCUCUCUCACUCCAUUCCUUAUUUCAUUCUCUCAUCUUCCUCCCUCUCUCUCUCUCUCUCUCUCUCUCUCUCUCUCUCUCUCUCUGUUUCCACCAUCAGCGCCCUCGCCAUCUCCCUCUCCCUCUCCCUCUCUCACGGUCCCUCGUCGUCUCCCUCUCCCUCUCUCAAGCUCCGGCGCCUUCACACCUCCUUCAACACCACCGGAUCUUCAGCAGCGCUGCCUCCACCGGUUCUCCCUCGCCCUCACUCCCCCUAACAUUGAGGCUUCUUCCUCUUCAAAGGGGGAACAUUUGGAUGCUGACACGAAUUUGCUGAGGUUGUUGUGGCACGAAAGGGGCCUCCUGUCAAUGGUCAGUCUACUGUUCAACUCCAAACAAGCUAUUGAUUGUUGUGCAUUCAAUGAAUGCUUUCUUUCUGGACAGUAUUUUCAAUUGGAUCACCCUAUACCAUCAAUUGGAUCAAGUGAGAUUCUUUUGAGUGCCAAGGAGAUCAUGAAGACGCCCAAAGGUCAUUAAUGAAGCUCUCAUAUGUGGGAACAUAGUCAAGUUUGUGCACCAAAAGGCCCUCAAGGAUGUCAGAUUUAAAGAUUAAUUUUGAAUUGUAUAAAGAGAAGAUAAGAGGAGAAUUAAAGGCUUGAAUGGAACCUCGAACAACAACUGAUAGGGAAGACAAAGGUCUUCUUGAGAGCUGGCCAGAUGGCUGAGUUGGAUGCACGCAGAGCAUAAGUUUUGGGUCAUGCGGCCAGAGCUAUUCAAAGACAAAUCUGUACUCAUAUUGCUCGCAAGGAGUUCAUCAUGUUACGCAAGGCUGCCAUUUAUUUGCAAUCCAGUUGGAGAGAAGAACCUACAGGUAAUCUGUCGAAUUUUCAGAAACCUUUCGGGCAUGGUCCAAGCCUUGGAUGCUGAACUUCUAGAAGAAAGGCAUUGUGUGACAUUUGAAUGAUAUGGGAGUCCUCUUUGCUGGUAGAAAAUGAUGAAAAGAACUCGGUUGGUAAUCUCAAGUGCCCCAUGGAUGCUAAAAAAAAGCGUAAAAGACGAAGUAUUGCCAGAUUGGCAAAGGAUACUCCAGGUAAUGAAACAUAAGGACAACACUCCCUUUUGGAAGAAUACCUUCUAAUAGAGAGAGAUGAAGAAAGCUCUGAGAUUUCCAAAAGUGGAGAGGUUUCUCCUUUUUCUGCACCUUUUUCAAGUGAA